rnacentral:rRNA from 1 species
GACGAACGCUGGCGGCGUGCCUAAUACAUGCAAGUAGAACGCUGAAGGAGGAGCUUGCUUCUCUGGAUGAGUUGCGAACGGGUGAGUAACGCGUAGGUAACCUGCCUGGUAGCGGGGGAUAACUAUUGGAAACGAUAGCUAAUACCGCAUAAUAGUAGAUGUUGCAUGACAUUUGCUUAAAAGGUGCAAUUGCAUCACUACCAGAUGGACCUGCGUUGUAUUAGCUAGUUGGUGGGGUAACGGCUCACCAAGGCGACGAUACAUAGCCGACCUGAGAGGGGGAGCGGCCACACUGGGACUGAGACACGGCCCAGACGCCUACGGGAGGCAGCAGUAGGGAAUCUUCGGCAAUGGACGGAAGUCUGACCGAGCAACGCCGCGUGAGUGAAGAAGGUUUUCGGAUCGUAAAGCUCUGUUGUAAGAGAAGAACGAGUGUGAGAGUGGAAAGUUCACACUGUGACGGUAUCUUACCAGAAAGGGACGGCUAACUACGUG